rnacentral:rRNA from 1 species
GAUGGUUCGAUUAGUCUUUCGCCCCUAUACCCAGUUCAUACGAUCGAUUUGCACGUCAGAAUCGCUACGGACCUCCAUCAGGGUUUCCCCUGACUUCAUCCUGACCAGGCAUAGUUCACCAUCUUUCGGGUCCCAGCGUGUAUGCUCUUGGUGCGCCGCAACUUGCAAUAAGUAUGCGACGCCCCGGGAAUGCGAGGUAACAUAAAUAACGUUACCCAUCUUCCCUUUAUAAAAUAUAAUUAUAAAAAUUAUAUAUAUAUUUACUUUCAUUACGCCUUUAGGUUUAUUAUAAAUACCCAAUGACUUGCGCACAUGCUAGAUG